CACGUAGGCACCAAGCGUUGUCCGGAUUUAUUGGGCGUAAAGGGCUCGUAGGCGGCGCGGUAAGUCGGAUGUGAAAUCUCGGAGCUUAACUUCGAAACUGCAUUCGAUACUGCCGUGCUUGAGGACUGGAGAGGAGACUGGAAUUUACGGUGUAGCGGUGAAAUGCGUAGAUAUCAGGGAAGAACACCAACGGCGAAGGCAGCUCGCUAGGACGGUACUGACGCUGAGACGCGAAAGCGUGGGGAGCGAACAGG
rnacentral:rRNA from 1 species